UUUUUAUGGAGAGUUUGAUCCUGGCUCAGGAUGAACGCUGGCGGCGUGCUUAACACAUGCAAGUCGAACGAUGAAGCCCAG
rnacentral:rRNA from 1 species